ensembl:lncRNA
UCAUGAUGAUGUCAGGUGCAGUUAAAAACUAGCCUUUCUAGUCAGUAUGUAAUUCGGACGCAACCAACUAAUAGAUGCCUUUCUACAUUGGAGUGUGCUGCUGUUGCUCUUUCUAUCUUGGAGAAGAAUAAUUGCAUACAAGAGACUUUGCUUCGCCCUCUUCAAGCUUUAUGUUCUUUCCAGCUUCAGCAUGGUGCUCAAAUUCGCCUCAGCAAGGAACACCUUCUGAAAAAUGGAUUAUAUCCUAAGCCAAUGCCAAAGAACAAACGCAAACUCAGGAAAAUGGAAUUGUUGAUGAAUAGCAUUAAAAUUUAGCGCAAUUGUUCUCAUGGUGCUAGUUAUGAUGUCUUCAGCUGAGAAUACCGAGUUAACUUUUUAUACGUUUUAAAUGCGGGUUUUUGUCUAAUGAAUGAGAGUUACAUACUAAACUUACCCAGAAAAAGGAGUAAUCCAAAUAGCCAUAAAAGCAAACACACCAACAAAUUUCACUGACUCAGUAAAUUGCAAACUUUAUUGUUUUUAAAAUGUGCCUCUGAUACAUUUUUGUCAAAUCCGUAAUUUGAAACAUGAUUAGUUGUUGAGCUGGGUUAGAAAUUCCUAUUUAUGAAAUGGAAUGUAAGGAAAUUGGUGUGCCUAAUUGGGACAGUAUAGUUUCCAUUAAUGUUUAUGGAUAAUUAGGUGUAGACCUGUAAUAGAGGAUACCUACAUCAGGCUACAAUCUUGUAAUUGAAUGUUAUAGUUUGAAAUAAGUAACAAAAGGAAGUAGUAAUCAAUUAAUUUAGAUUGAAUUUAUUUCAUAAAUAAGUGUUCUUUAGGGACUAAACUUGAACUCAGCUAAUGUGAUUUAAGCAUGCUAUUAAUUGCCCUAAUUAAAAAAUUAAAUUAUAAUUGACAUAACAUUUUAUUAUUUUUCAAGUGUAUGACACAAUGAUUUGGUAUUUGUGUACAUUGUAAAGUGGUCACUACAGUAUGUCUAGUUAACAUCUGUCACCAAACACAGUUACAAUAAUUCUUUUUUCUUGUGAUGAGAACUUUUUAAAAUUAUUAUUAUUAUUUUUUUUACUUUUUAGGGCCACACCCAUGGCAUGUGGAGAUUGCCAGGGUAGGGGUUGAAUUGGAGCUGUAGCUGCCAGCCUACGCCGCAGCCACAGCAAUGAAGGAUCUGAGCUGUACUUGCAACCUACACCACAGCUCAUGGCAACAUCAGAUCCUUAACCCCCUGAGCAAGGCCAGGGAUUGACCCGGCAUCUUCAUGGAUGCUAGUCAGAUUAACCGCUGAGCCGCGACAGGAACAACAUGAUGAAAACUUUUAAGAUUUACUCCCUUUUAAGAUUUACUCCUGUUGUACAUCUCCAUGACUUGUUUCAUCCAUUUCAUGCCCACCUUUACCUCCAUCUCUGCCUCUAACAAACACCAAUGUGUUCUCUUUAUCUUAGAGCUUGCCUCUAAACUAGUUUGUUUGUUUCCAGAUUCUACGUAUAAGUGAUAUCAUAUCUUUCUCUGUCUGACUUACUUCACUUAGCAUAAUGCCCUCAUGGUCCAUCCUUGUUGCAAAUGGCAAGAUAUCUUUAUUGUUUGUGGCUGAAUAAUAUUCCCGUGUGUGUGUGUGUGUGUGUGUGUGUGUGUGUGUGUGUGUGUGUGUGUGUGUGUGUUUGGGCUCACGUGUGUGUGACAUUUUAUUUAUCUAUUCAUCCAUUGAUAGACUAUUUCUGUAUCUUGGUUAUUGUAAACAGUGCUGCAAGGAACAUGAAGGUGCAGAUAUCUUUUUGAGUUAGUGUUUUCUUCAGAUAAAUAACCAGAAGUGGAGUCACUAGAUCCUAUGAUAGUUCUAUUUUUAAUUUUGUACAAACUUCCAUGCUGUUUUCUGUAGAGGCUGCACCAAUUUGUAUUCCCACUAACAGUGCACAAGAUUUCCCUUUUCUCCACAUCCUUGCCAGCAUUUUUUAUUUGUUGUCUUUUCGAUGAUUGCCAUUCUGGUAUUAGGUGGUAACUCAGUGUGUUUUUGAUUUGUAUUUCUCUGAUGAUUAGUGAUGUUGAGCAUCUUUUCCUGUACCUGUUGCCCAUCUCUAUGUCUUCUUUGGAAAAAUACCUAUUCAGACCCUUUGCCCAUAUUUAAAUUGGAUUGUUUGUUUUUUGAUAUUUAAUUAUAUUAUUUAUAUAUUUUGGAUAUUAAUCCCUUAUUAGACAUAUGAUUUGAAAAUAUUUUCUCUCAUUAAGUGGAUGCUUUUUCAUUUUGUUGAUGGUUUCCUUUGCUGUACAGAAGCUCUUCAGUGUAAUGUAGUCCCAUUUGUUUAUUUUUGACUUUAUUGCCUGCCUUUGCUUUUGGUGUCAGAUUCAAAAAAAUCAUUGCCAAGACCAGUGUCAUAGAGCUUACUGCCUAUGUUUUCUUCUGGGAGUUUUAUGAUUUCAGAUCUUACACUUUAAGUUUAUAAUUUUAGUCAGCGGAAUCCAAAAACAUGUAAAAAAGGUCAUACACUGUGACCAAGUGGGAGUCAUCUGAAAUUCACAAGGAUGGUUCAACAUAUGCAAAUCAAUCAGUGUCACACAACACAUUAACAAAAGAAAAGUAAAAAAAACCACAUGAUCAUUUCAAUAGAUGUAGAAAAAGCAUUUGACAAAAUCCAACAUCUUUUCAUGAUAAAAAUCUCUUACCAAAGUGGGUAUAGAGGGAACAUACCUUAACAUAAUAAAAUUUAUGACAAAUCCACAGCCAGAAUAAUGCUCAACAGAGAGAAGCUGAAAGUCUUCCUGCUAAAAUUUGGAAUAAGACAAGGAUGCCCACUCUCACCACUUUUAUUCAACAUCAUAUUGGAAGUCCUAGCCACAACAGUCAGACAAAAGAAAUAAAAGAUAUCCAAAUUGGAUAUCCAAAUUGGAAGAGAAAAGGUAAAAGUGUCACUCUAUGCAGAUGAGGUGAUACUGUAAAUCAAAAGCCCUAAGGUCUCCACACAAAAUCUACUUGAUUUUUUUGAUCAAUGAAUUCAGGAAAGUAGCAGGAUACAAGAUUAAUAUUCAGAAGUCAGUUGCAUUUCUGUAUACUAACAAUGAAAUAUUAGAAAAGGAAUAUAAAAAUACAAUACUUUAAAAAAUCACACCCAUUUUGAGUUGAUUUUUUUUGGGGGGGUGAUGUAUGAUAGUGGUCCAAUUUCCUUCUUUUGCAUGUGGCUGUAUGUGGCUAUUCAACUUUCUCAGCAUCAUUUAUUAAAGAAACUGUCUUUUCCCCAUUGUAUAUUCUUACCUGUUUUGUGGUAGGUUAAUUGACCAUAUAAGUGUGGAUUUAUUUCUGACAUUCUAUAUUUUGUUUCGUUGAUCUAUGUAUCUGUUUUUGUGCCAGUACCAUGCUGUUUUGAUCACUGUAGCUUUGUAAGAUAGCUUUAAAUCAGGGAGCAUGAUACCUCCAGCUUUGUAUUUCUUUCUCAAGUUUGCUUUAGCUAUUCAGAGCCUUUGGUUUCAAACACAUUUUAGGACAGUUCAUCCUAUUUCUGUGAAAAAUGCCUUUGGAAUUUUGAUAGGCAUAACAUUGAAUCUCUAAGUUACUUUAGAGCCCUCAAUUUAAUGAGGUGCAUGUAAUUUUGAAAUAGCACACAUUUUCAUUUGUAUGCAAUCUGGAUAAGUUUAAGUUUCUCACUAUUCAUUGAACAGGUUUAUUAACUGUGAUAAACUAGUUAUAUUGAAGUUUCCAUAUGGGAAUACUGCAGAAUAUAAGAUAACUCUAAUUUUGAGAAGAUAGUUAAAUCAUUUUGGUGGGCAAAAACUUUCAAUUGUGAAAGAGUAAAUUUUUCCCACCCCUUUGGGGAAACAUCUGUGGAGAUUUUGUAUAGAAUAAGAGGCAUAUAUAUAAUAUAUAUUUACAUCUAACUCAAAUCUACUGUAGUUAUAUACACGUUUAGGCAAGAAAAGGAGACUUUGUUUUUCCCUUUAUUUGUGACUUCUAGAGUUUCCUGUAUCUAGUCGUAACUUGUCAGGCAAAACUAAACAUUUGAUUUAAAAGUAAGCUUUCUUUCUGUACAUAUGUACGUGCCUGCACACACACACGUGUAUGUGUGAUACAUAAACAUAUACCAAUAACUAUUUCUGACCAUUUUCUUCCUCAUUUAUUUAUUUUCAGAAUGGCUUAGACCCUUAUUAAAAGCUUGAAUGCUGGUCAUAAUUAGAAUGCUAAUGAAUGUCCUAGGGAAGCUCUGCAGAAAAUAUUUUAAAAUAUUAAAAGUUAGACUUCUGUCUUCUAUUGUUUACUUUUUUGGAGAUUUAAAAACAAGUUAGUUUACUUGUAGUCUGAAAUACCUAAUAUCAGCGUUCCUGUCAUGGCUCAGUAGUUAACAAACCUGACUAGUAACCAUGAGGAUGUGGGUUCGAUCUCUGAUCUCACUCCGUGGGUUAAGGAUCCAGUGUUGCUGUGAGCUGCAGUCUAGGUUGCAGACGUGGAUGUGGUCCCACAUUGCUGUGGCUGUGGCAUAGGCCGGCAGCUGCAGCUCCGAUUACACCUCUAGCCUGGGAACUUCCAUAUGCUGCAGGUGUGGCCCUAAAAAGCAAAAAGCAAGCAAAAAAAAAUUUUUUUUUAUUUAUUCUAUGCUGUGGAACACAAUUGGAUGUAAAGUUUCAUUACAUCUGAAACACAGUAUUGCUUAUCGAUAAAAAUAUCCACUUAUGCCUGUGUUUAAAGAAUAUAUCUACAUGGUAAAAGUCAAAUUAUAUAAAACUUUUAAGUUCACAAAGUCAAAAUUAAUUUUUUACUCAGAGCAUCAAUAAUAUCGCAUCUGUACUAAGGAAGCUGUAUUCAUGAUCAACACUUUACCUUCCUAAAAUUCAGCAUCAUUCAAUGGAAGGGAUUCUAUAGUAACACGACAAUGUUUUUAAGUAGCCAAUUUAGGGCAAUAAGUGCGAAUAUGUGAUGAAAAAACUGAGGAAGCUAUAUAGAAGUGCUCUUUGACAUAGUUCACUAGUAUUGGCAGUGGUGAGGAGCUUACUCCUUCCAAAAUCUUGGGGAAAAGACCCUAACUUUAUAAUGGUCACAGCUAAGGAAAAUUGGGUUUGGAGUCUUACAGUAGGGGAAAAUAAUUUUUCUUAACAUAACUUUUACCUUCCUCAUAAGAAAUCUUAUAAUCCAAGUUACAGAAAGCUGCCAAGUACUGUGACUUAUUUCAUAUACUGUAGCCCUCAAUGCUUUAUACUCAUAAGUGUAUGAAACUCUCAAAAAAAUCACUCAUUACACAGUGGUUUUCAACCCACCACAAAUAGGCUAACUAAAUAAACACAGGCACCUUGUAUAAAAGGGAUACUCUCUGAGUUACAUGAUUUAAAUAACAAUUUACAAAACAAUCUACCCCACAUUAAAUUGUAGAGUAUACAUGUAAAGCCUACUAUCAGCUACAAAUUCACAUAGUCUGGGAACGGUCCAGGCAAAUCAGUCAAAUACAAAGCAUUUGAAUUUAAAAGCUAACUAAUAACAAUAAAAAAGUAACAACUUUUAAAAGUCAGAUUAAGUUUUCACAUAAUACUACACACUUUGAAAAAUUUAGUAACCAAAAAUAUUAAUAGUUUUUAAAACAUAUUGUACAACUGCUAAAUGAGAGCAAGUAAUUUAAAAAUCUCUGUAUACUAGAAAGAAUUAAAUGG